UCCGGAGUAGUUCAGUGGCAGAACCCUCGGCUCUUAACCGGGAGGGCGCUGGUUCGACUCCAGCCUCCGGACCCA
rnacentral:tRNA from 1 species